CGAGCCGGGCGGACGGCCGCGUGGAGUCCCCCUAGGGGGCUUCCCGAGGAACGUCCGGGCUCCACAGGGCAGGGUGGUGGCUAACGGCCACCCGGGGUGACCCGCGGGACAGUGCCACAGAAAGCAAACCGCCCGGCGCUCAGGCGCUGGGUAAGGGUGAAACGGUGGUGUAAGAGACCACCAGUGCCCAGGGCGACCUGGGCAGCUAGGUAAACCCCACCCGGAGCAAGGUCAAGAAGGAGACACCCCGGUGUCUCUGCGCGGACGCUCGAGGGCUGCCCGCCCGAGUCCGCGGGUAGACCGCAGGAGGCCGGCGGCAACGCCGGUCGUAGAUGGAUGGCCGUCGCCUCAGGGGCCGCGAGGACCUUGAGGAACAGAACCCGGCGUACAGCCCGACUCGUCUG
rnacentral:RNase_P_RNA from 1 species